GGGGGGGGGGGGGGGGGGGGGGGGGGGGUGGGGGGCGAGCGGGGGGGGGGGGUGGGGGCGGGCGGCGGGGGGCGGGCGGGGGGGUGGUGCAGGGGGACGUACCCUGGGGUGGGGGGUAACUGGUCGAAAGAUUAGCUAAUACCGCAUACGACCUGAGGGUGAAAGUGGGGGACCGGAAACGGCCUCAUGCAGCCGGAGCGGCCGAUGUCUGAUUCGCUAGUUGGUGGGGUAAAGGCCCACCAAGGCGACGAUCAGUAGCUGGUCUGAGAGGACGAUCAGCCACAAUGGGACUGGGACACGACCCAGACUCCUACGGGAGGCAGCAGUGGGGAAUUUGGGACAAUGGGGGCAACCCUGAUCCAGCAAUGCCGCGUGUGUGAAGAAGGCCUUCGGGUUGUAAAGCACUUUUGUCCGGAAAGAAAUCGCGCUGGUUAAUACCUGGCGUGGAUGACGGUACCGGAAGAAUAAGCACCGGCUAACUACG
rnacentral:rRNA from 1 species